UACGGAGGGGCUAGCGUUGUUCGGAAUUACUGGGCGUAAAGCGCACGUAGGCGGCUUUGUAAGUUAGAGGUGAAAGCCCGGAGCUCAACUCCGGAAUUGCCUUUAAGACUGCAUCGCUAGAAUUGUGGAGAGGUGAGUGGAAUUCCGAGUGUAGAGGUGAAAUUCGUAGAUAUUCGGAAGAAACACCAGUGGCGAAGGCGCACUCACUGGACAGCAU
rnacentral:rRNA from 1 species